AAACGAUGAUUACUCACGAUGAGUGUCCACACAGAUUGAUACGGUUUAUAAAGUAAAGAGAAGAAGAGUUCCCAAACUCUUCAAUCCAGUGUCCCGUUCGUCUAGAGGCCUAGGACACCGCCCUUUCACGGCGGUAACAGGGGUUCGACUCCCCUACGGGAUACCAUUGGGUCGUUAGCUCAGUUGGUAGAGCAGUUGACUUUUAAUCAAUUGGUCGCAGGUUCGAAUCCUGCACGACCCACCAUUCCUUCCAUUAGGAAUUAAAACUCAAAAUAUGGGGCUAUAGCUCAGCUGGGAGAGCGCCUGCCUUGCACGCAGGAGGUCUGCGGUUCGAUCCCGCAUAGCUCCACCAUAUUUUGAAACAAUGGGCGAUUAGCUCAGUUGGGAGAGCACCUGCCUUACAAGCAGGGGGUCACUGGUUCGAGCCCGGUAUCGCCCACCAUCUUUAAGCGCAUUCGAUGAGUGCUUUUAAAAAUGGUUACUUCAUUAGAAGUGAUUAGCUCUUUAACAAUUUGGAAAGCUGACAAAACAACAAUUUAUUGUUGUUUGUAAAGUUCUCAAUGUUUGUCUUUAAGACAAACACCAAAAUAACACAUUCAAGUGUUCUUGGAAUUUGAGUCCGGCAAAAUCGAGUCUGCAUCAUGUAUAAAAAUUGCAGACAACUUUGGUGACUUGUUCAUCAACUCGAAACUCCUUCGGGUUGUAU
rnacentral:tRNA from 1 species